CAGGUUAUAUGUAGUACUGAAGAAUGACUUCAGCUAGUGAGUUACACCUCAAGGCAACCUCCCGGAAGGCCAACCUUAAGCGCAGCAGACCAACCAAGCAUCUAAGCUGAGUUCUUAUCAGAGCCAACUUCAAUUAUAAACAACUGAGAUGACGCCAGAGGCUAGAGUCCCUGAGGACCCGAUUUGCUGUUUUCACCGUGGCUAAAAUAAAGUGCUUGGCAUCUAGAAAAGCUGAUCUGUAGGAAAUUUCCAAUAGAGUUCCAUUUUUUUCUAAGUUUAAAAUGUGUAAUAUCAAGGUCACACACCUGAGAUAAAGCUAGGCUUGCAUUUAAACAGAAUAAAAACAGUGGAAGACUAGUAAGAGUGUGACUAAUUUUACACUGGAAUGUGUAAAACAAAUUGGUUUUUCCUUGUGCCUUUAAAAUUAUGUGUUUUGUCAAUGUGAUACUGACAUAUUUAUAAUGAAGCAUACUUUGUAAAAUGACAGAAAAAUAUACAGUAUUAUUUACAUCCACAAAGCUAGAAAAAGACUGUAUGUCCCAAGAGUCUCCAUCAUCUACCCCGUGGCCACUUAACCAAAUUACAAUCCAAAUACCAAAAAGAAAAGAAAAUAACAUUUGUGUUGUAUGCCUUACAAGACCAAACCUAUAAAAUGAGGGGAAACUUCACAAUUACUUGUAAUUGCUCUGGGGAAUUGUAACAGAUGGACUAUAAAGAUGAUUCCAUGAUAAACAUCUAAAUGUGGCUACUACC